rnacentral:rRNA from 1 species
GACGAACGCUGGCGGCGUGCUUAACACAUGCAAGUCGAACGGAAAGGCCCUGCUUUUGUGGGGUGCUCGAGUGGCGAAAGGGUGAGUAACACGUGAGUAACCUGCCCUUGACUUUGGGAUAACUUCAGGAAACUGGGGCUAAUACCGGAUAGGAGCUCCUGCUGCAUGGUGGGGGUUGGAAAGUUUCGGCGGUUGGGGAUGGACUCGCGGCUUAUCAGCUUGUUGGUGGGGUAGUGGCUUACCAAGGCUUUGACGGGUAGCCGGCCUGAGAUGGUGACCGGCCACAUUGGGACUGAGAUGCGGCACAGACUCCAACGGGAGGCAGCAGUGGAGAAUAUUGCACAAUGGGCUGAAGCCUAAUGCAGCAACGCCGCGUGCGGUAUGACGGCCUUCGGGUUGUAAACCGCUUUCGCCUGUGACGAAGCGUGAGUGACGGUAAUGGGUAAAGAAGCACCGGCUAACUACGUG